UGGUGCCUCAACAUGGGAUUCAAGAAUGGGGACUUAGUGAGGGACACUGUUUGUGGGCCCAGAGUAGAAAAAGGAAAACAAAAUAGAGGACUGACUUGGGAGACUGCCACACCGCUGAACCUUGGUAAGUGAACAGCGAUUAUGCGACAAGAAAUUAGCCAGCAUGAGAUUUUUGUUGAAAGUUUAGAAACGCUUUAAAGAUGCAAAGGGUAAAGGAAAAAAAAUUUAGCAAUUGUGUCCACUAGGACAA
rfam:Cavia porcellus supercont2_34 genomic scaffold, whole genome shotgun sequence.